rnacentral:rRNA from 1 species
UACGUAGGGGGCAAGCGUUUUCCGGAAUCAUUGGGCGUAAAGAGCGCGCAGGCGGUCGUUCAAGUCGAGUGUGAAAGCCCCCGGCUCAACUGGGGAGGGUCACUCGAUACUGAUCGACUUGAAGGCGGGAGAGGGAAGCGGAAUUCCCGGUGUAGUGGUGAAAUGCGUAGAUAUCGGGAGGAACACCAGUGGCGAAGGCGGCUUUCUGGCCCGUUCUUGACGCUGAGGCGCGAAAGCUAGGGUAGCAAACGGG